rnacentral:rRNA from 1 species
GACGAACGCUGGCGUCGUGCUUAACACAUGCAAGUCGAACGGUAAGGCCCUUCGGGGUACACGAGUGGCGAACGGGUGAGUAACACGUGGGUGAUCUGCCCUGCACUUCGGGAUAAGCCUGGGAAACUGGGUCUAAUACCGGAUAGGACCACUGCCUGCAUGGGUGGUGGGGGAAAGCUUUUGCGGUGUGGGAUGGGCCCGCGGCCUAUCAGCUUGUUGGUGGGGUGAUGGCCUACCAAGGCGACGACGGGUAGCCGGCCUGAGAGGGUGACCGGCCACACUGGGACUGAGAUACGGCCCAGACUCCUACGGGAGGCAGCAGUGGGGAAUAUUGCACAAUGGGCGCAAGCCUGAUGCAGCGACGCCGCGUGAGGGAUGACGGCCUUCGGGUUGUAAACCUCUUUGAUCAGGGACGAUAAUGACGGUACCUGAAGAACAAGCCACGGCUAACUACGUGCCAGCAGCCGCCGCCG